CUGAGCUGACCUGCUCUGGUGAUCAGAUGGUCGAACACCCUGGCUGUCAUGAUAGAAUUCUCAUCCAGUGUCUGAUGGAAGCAAAUGCAGAGAUCCACGGCCGAGCUCCAGGUGGAACAAAGUAGCCAACCAGAUGUUGGAGGGCAGGUUAUGGCACCACACGCAUGAGUAACCUAUGACAGCAAAGCUUAUAGAAGUGGAGAAGCAAAUGGUAGUUGUCGGGGACUACAGAAAGAGAAAACACCGAAGUUCUCAUCAUUCAGGAUAUGUAGAAUUGAAAAGAGAGGAAGAAAAGGAAGAAAAAGAAGAAGAAGAAGAAGAAGAAGAAGAAGAAGAAGAAGAAGAAGAAGAAGAAGGAGAGGGAGAGGGAGAGGGAGAGGG